rnacentral:rRNA from 1 species
AUUGAACGCUGGCGGCAGGCCUAACACAUGCAAGUCGAGCGGAUGAAGGGAGCUUGCUCCUGGAUUCAGCGGCGGACGGGUGAGUAAUGCCUAGGAAUCUGCCUGGUAGUGGGGGAUAACGUCCGGAAACGGGCGCUAAUACCGCAUACGUCCUGAGGGAGAAAGUGGGGGAUCUUCGGACCUCACGCUAUCAGAUGAGCCUAGGUCGGAUUAGCUAGUUGGUGGGGUAAAGGCCUACCAAGGCGACGAUCCGUAACUGGUCUGAGAGGAUGAUCAGUCACACUGGAACUGAGACACGGUCCAGACUCCUACGGGAGGCAGCAGAGGGGAAUAUUGGACAAAGGGCGAAAGCCUGAUCCAGCCAUGCCGAGUGUGUGAAGAAGGUCUUCGGAUUGUAAAGCACUUUAAGUUGGGAGGAAGGGAAGUAAGUUAAUACCUUGCUGUUUUGACGUUACCAACAGAAUAAGCACCGGCUAACUUCGUG